rnacentral:rRNA from 1 species
UUUCACACUGCCGAGAAAAGCCUCUAGAUAGAAAAUAGGUGCCCGUACCGCAAACCGACACAGGUAGUCAAGAUGAGAAUUCUAAGGUGAGCGAGCGAACUCUCGUUAAGGAACUCGGCAAAAUGACCCCGUAACUUCGGGAGAAGGGGUGCUCUUUAGGGUUAACGCCCAGAAGAGCCGCAGUGAAUAGGCCCAAGCGACUGUUUAUCAAAAACACAGGUCUCUGCUAAACCGUAAGGUGAUGUAUAGGGGCUGACGCCUGCCCGGUGCUGGAAGGUUAAGAGGAGUGGUUAGCUUCUGCGAAGCUACGAAUCGAAGCCCCAGUAAACGGCGGCCGUAACUAUAACGGUCCUAAGGUAGCGAAAUUCCUUGUCGGGUAAGUUCCGACCCGCACGAAAGGCGUAACGAUUUGGGCACUGUCUCAACGAGAGACUCGGUGAAAUCAUAGUACCUGUGAAGAUGCAGGUUACCCGCGACAGGACGGAAA